ensembl:lncRNA
CACAAAAAAAUAGCUACCAUUUCUUGGUCAUGUGACCUCAUGAUGACCCCAGUGCAUUUAUUUCUCUAUUAUCUCCAGCACUAAGAAGCUGUUGGAUGCCGAUGAUCAGUAUUACCAGAGUCUGAACAGCAAUACAUCCACAGGCGAGACGUCCGGAGACACAGAGAUACCAGAGUCCCAGACCCCCACGUCUAACACGCCCAAAUCUUCAAACCAGGACCGGAACUCUCUUCUCAGAAUGCUCUCUAUGGAAAACGAGGACAAUCCUCACGACUACAGGAAGCUGCUGAGGAAGACCUCUCAGAGAGGAAGGCUAAUCGAGCAAAGCUAGACUCUGUGUUCUGGGCUGAUAGGGAUCUAGGAAUACUUCCGAAAAUGAAGAGCAUGGCUAACAAGAAAUGAACCCUAAUGGAAAUGCACUAGCAUGAACUUGCACUAGCGUUUAUACGUUAACAGGUUAUUAGCAACCUGCUUUAAUUAGCAUCUCAGGAUAACAAUUCAUGUACAUAACUAAAUAAGACAGUUUACAAUAUAAGAAAUUGACUGACUGGCUGUUAAGUCAUCCUGCACUAUGUGUGUGUGCACUUUACCGUUGUCUCUUAUGCUUUGUGUACUUGAAUGUUUUUUUCACGUUUCUUGUGAUUCCCUUGGAAUAUCCUUGCACAGCUCUGGUGCCAAUAUUUAUGGUUUGGGCCUAGUUUUUAGCAUUUUUGAGCCUUUGGUAUAGCGAUAAGGAAGACAUCUGAGGACUACACUCUACGCUUUCUUAGUUAAAACAGCGGUCGGACUGAAUACGAAUAAAACUCACCCGCCGGAAAGGCUGAUUCACUGAAGGGGAAAGGACGUGGGAUGUGAAAGGCAUGCUUUUGCUUCUGGUUGCAGUUACGUUCGUGAACUUUGACCUGUGAUUUAAUAAACAUCGUUCUUCUGAGCCGAUAGGAAGCAAGAAGGCAGGGCUGUGAUGUUUUUUGAUCGGUAAAAAAAUGGAGGAGCUGCUUAUUAUGAAAUACCACUACAUCACUGAACUGUGCGUCUCUGUUAUUUGACCGCACCUCUGUUAAAAAUUAGUUAGCUAGCUAGCAUGACCUGACAUUUUCUUCAAAAUCACAUCAUCAGGACUACGAUGUUUUGAAUCACAGGCGAGGAAAACCGCACAGCAAUGACUUUUACAAAAUUGUGGAAUGUGCUUUUUUUUUUAUUUAAAAAAAAAGAGAGGCAAAAAAAAUAUGUCGCAUUUCUGUGUAGUAAAUGUGCAGAGUGGAUUGUGCUGUGUGUCGCCAUUUCACAUCUUUCAAUAUGUAUAUACUGUACAGUACACCAUUUUCCAUUUUUACUUGAGUAUCUUUGGCUCCCGUUUGUGCAGACUAAUGCGUUGAAUUUAUGUUUGAUCAUUUGCUUUCUAGUCAGCAAAAUUGUAAAGAUCUUUAUACUCUUUAUAAUGAUGUUCAGAUCAAUAAACACAAUUUAAUCCGCUAACUUGUUAGCUCAUUUAUCAUUUAGGCUGGUUUUUGAGGUCAUUUGGACAAUCUGGCAACCCUCCUAAAUGUCAUUCAGGCUACAACCCCUCACCAUGAGAGCAGCCUGAUGUGAAAGAAACACUGUUGGUCA